rnacentral:tRNA from 1 species
CCUUCGGUAGCUCAGUUGGAAGAGCGCAAGACUGUAAAUCUUGAUGUCGCUGGUUCGAUCCCGGCCCGAAGGA